UACGGAGGGGACUAGCGUUGUUCGGAAUUACUGGGCGUAAAGAGCGCGCAGGCGGUUGUUUAAGUCGAAUGUGAAAGCCCCCGGCUCAACUGGGGAGGGUCAUUCGAUACUGAUCGACUUGAAGGCAGGAGAGGGAAGUGGAAUUCCGGGUGUAGUGGUGAAAUGCGUAGAUAUCCGGAAGGAACACCAGUGGCGAAGGCGGGUUGCUGGGCUGACACUGACGCUGAUGCGCGAAAGCCAGGGAGCGAACGGG
rnacentral:rRNA from 1 species